ensembl:snRNA U6 U6 spliceosomal RNA
GUGCUCACUUCAGCAGCACAUACACUAAAAUGGGAAUGAUACAGAAAGAUUUAGCAUGGCCUUAACACAAGGAUGACAUGCAACUUGGCGAAAUGUUCCAUAUUUUU